GCUGCUUGAUGAUGGAGAAGAGGUUGCUGUGAAGCUGCUUCGUUAUUUCACGCCUGAGAUCAGUGACCAGCAGUUCCAAAAUGAAUUUGGAAACCUUAAGAAGCUCAAGCAUCCUAAUAUUGUACAAUUGUUGGGGUUCUGCGAUGAACCUGAGGAAGAAAUUAUUGAGCACAAAGGAAAAUUAAUACUUUGCUAUAGGAUACGCAGGGCACUAUGUCUUGAGUAUGUGCCCAAUGGAAGCCUUCGCAAGUUUCUUUCAGGUAAGGUGCUCAUGUGUUAUUGCGUAAUAUUAUUUCGGACAUUAAAAAUAUUCUUUGCAUUAUGUAUAUUGAGAAUAUUAUGUUUGUUCUUGUAGGUGGAUGUCUUAGCAAGAAUUGGCCCAUACGCUACAAAAUAAUUAAGGGAAUCUGUGAGGGUCUACAGUACCUUCACAAGAUUCCCAUUUUCCAUCUUGACUUAAAACCUGAUAAUAUACUGCUAGAUGAGAAGAUGUUGCCAAAAAUCACCGAUUUUGGUUUAUCUAGGCUCAUCGGUGAAGGGAACACCAAAAGGACAAUGACGCCUCUAGGGACACUGUAAGAUUAUUGUCUCCUGUGAACUUUUGAUCUGCUAAAUUGUAGUUAUUCCUUAGUCUCACUUUGCUAUGUCAUUUAUGUUCUGCUGCAGUGGAUACUUGCCUCCAGAGUUCAUUAACAAUCAAAUAAUCUCCAGGGAAUAUGACAUAUAUAGUUUAGGUGUUAUAAUUAUGCAGAUAAUCACUGGAGUUACAGGCUUCUCUGAUUUUGCUGACAUGGAGCCCCAAGAAUUUAUUGAACAUGUAAGAAUAAUUUAAUUAAUCUUAAUUUAUAAGCCUCUUAUAUACUAGAACAUGUUCGAAUAAUUUAAAUAAUCUUAAGCGGGUUACAUAUAAUGGAUGGAUUGAGCCUAUCGACCAGUAUAUAUUAGGUAAAAUAUUUAGGGGGCGAGGCUCCCCCGGAUACAUAUGGCAGUCUACGAUAUGUAUAUCUACAAGUACCAAAUAUACUCUAACAUCCCUCCGCAGUCACAGCGGGAGUAGUGCAGACGGUGAGACUGGAGAAGAAGCCGGAGGUAGAAGCCUGUAACGCCCGCAGAAAUCACUAUCUAAAAUCACCCGUUAAAAAACCAUCUUUAAAAUCUUUUUACCGCUGAGCUCCCGGAAAUCGGAAAUCUUCCCGGUGUUUUCGCGGUCCCGGUACCCAUGCCAGCCCCCACCUAUCUUUUUCCGUGCCCGUGAAUCUCGCCGCGUGCCGUUGUCAGACGCCGUGCGCGUGCCCCGACCACGUGCCGCGAACGCCGCCGGUCUCUUCCUUUUUCCUUCUCUUUUUUUCCCCUUUUCUCCUUUUCUUUUUCCUUCUUCUUUCUUUCUCUUUCUUCUUUCUUCUUCCUUCCUCUCUCUCUCCUCCUCUUUCUUCUUCCUGGCACCGGGCGCCACCCCCCCCCCGGCGCCACACCUCCUGGCCGGCCAACGCCAUCUACUCCGGCGCCCCCAUCCCUGGCGCCAUACUGCCCCGUCGCCCGGACCCGCGCCGCCCGCCUGGGGUCCCGCCGGUCACCUCUGCCCGUCACCGGCCCCCUCGCUCGGCUCGGUCCCGCCAGUCACCUCGGCCCUCCCGGCCCUGCCGGCGCGCCUGGCGCCACGCCACCCGGCCGCCUUGGGCCCGCGCCCGGGGCACGUGCCGCCACCCGGCGCCGACUCCCCGGCCGGCCUACCCGGCCCCUACCCCGCCGUACGCCGCCGCCACUCCGCCCGGCGCCUGGCGCCACGCCGCGUCCCGGCCCCGCACGCCACCGCCGGCGCCCUCCCCGCCGCCUAUAAAAGCCGCCCGGCCCUCCCCACUCUCCACCCACCAACACCACCACUCCCCGUCUCCCCUGCCUCCGCCACCCGAGCCGCCGCCGCCGCCGCCGAAACCCACCACCGGCCGCACCCCCUUCCCUACCCAAAUCCCCGAGGUGAGUAGCAAAAUGGGGCCUCCCCGGACCCCUCCACCUUCUCCCGCCGCCUCCCCUCGCCGCCGCCGCCCCCAGGCCCGGCCGUGCCCCUCCCUCUCUCCCCCUGUGUACUGUGCGCACCAAAGGAAGAAGAAACCCAAAAUUCCGAUCUAACCCCCUGAAAUCCACUAUUCGCGAAAUAGUCCUUCCACCACUCUUGUAGCAGUUUCACAAAUAAGCCCCUCCACCCCCAAAAGUAAUUACACAUAGGUCCCUGGUUUAUUAUAACUCAGCCCUAAGCCUCCGUUUAAGCCCCUAAUCCAUGUUUAACCCGUCAUUUCAUGCGCCAAACUUCCUCCAAUUAAUCCCAAAUUUUACCACGUCAUCCUCUGGAAUACUUUCGCCGAUCUAUAUCCAAAUUUCCCAGAAAUAAUCCUUCUACCUAUUUUCCAUUCGCGUUUCCUGUUCGGAGCUCACGGUUAAAAAUCGUUUCCUUUUUUAUUUAUUUGUGUGUCUACUUGUGUGUGCCGUAGAUCGCGGAUUGACCGAGGAGGAGCCCGAGGAAGAGUUUGACCGUGAGCCCGAGCCCGAGGACCAGUACCGCGAGCCGGAACUCCCGGAAGGCUUUGAAGAUGGCAAGUCCAAUCUCACCCUUUGAUGCAUACUUAAUACCUAGUUUUUCAAACACAACCUAUUGGCCUGUUUUACAAAAAUGCAUAUUAUUUUAUCGCAAGACAUGGUUGGAUAGCCACCCCUUGAUUGUUAUGAACAUUCCUUGUUGUCCUAUGCCUAUCUCUAAAUAUGACUCGCUCUGUUUAGAUGAUAGCCACUGCUAGAACGCUUAGGAAAUUGUGACUCAACUGCAAUCAUUAUUACAAUAAGUGUAUUCGGAAAAUAAGUGUGUGUGUGUGUCCACGCAAGAGAAAUGGCUUUUGGGGUUGGGGGAAAAGGAUGUGUAGACGGGAUGGAUGGGUGUUCCUCGUGUGGGAUGCCAUGUUGUUGUGCUCGUACCUUGGUGGUUGAGCAAUGUCGGGAGAUAUCCAUCCUGUCGUAAUUAAGGACCGAGUUGAUGUGUCAUCUUGCCUAAUUCCACUAUCGUGCAACCACUCGACCGUUGUAUGGGCAACGCCUUAGCAUAAAUCCCACUAGCUGGAUGGUUAGUCCUCAGGGGUGCUGGUGAGCAACGGAAACCCAUGGAAAAGGAGUAAGAUCUUGGUGACUUAGGUCCCGGUUACGGUCUCAUGGACGAGCCGUGAACCCCUUGGGUGUUUUCCGUGAGGGCUAGCCAGCCUUAGCUAAGGUGGGUAAUGGCUUUGUUAGGAUCCGUACCGUCACUAAGGUGAUCGUGCUGCGGUACCCUACUUGUGGGAAAAGUGUACACCCUCUACAGAGUUAAAACCUAUCCGGGUAGCCGUGUCCACGGCAUUGGACGAGUUACGGCUUGGUCACAUAACUAGCAAUUGGGCAAGAAUGUCAUGUGUGUGUGUGUGUGUGUGUGUGGGAUUUUGGAAGAGUCCGGCAGUUGUGCCGUGCGCUAUGACGGACGGGGAGUCCGAUAGCGAUAAAAACUUGGAUCCUUUGUGUAGGAUCAACCCCACUCAAUGUCUCGAGUAUUAAAGGAAAACCUUACAAAAACCCUUUCAAAACGAUCCCCUGCAUGUGUUAAAAUUUAGCUUUUCCGCAAAUAAACUCUAGCCUAUCCUUGUCAUACUUGUGCAUAAACUUGCUUGUAUCCCCUCCGUGGAUGGGGUUGGACUUGUUGAGUACGUUAGUAAUCACCCUUGCUUCAUUACUACAGAGGAAGACCCCGAUUUCGUCGCAGAGGACCUCGAGUAGAGGUUGUGUCCGCACCCGACGCUGCCUGUGGUGUUGUCUUGCCCAAGAUGCUGCUGCUGCCGUGUAGUCCCGAGUGCUGUCUUUUGGCAGUCGCUUGGUUAGCCGCCGUUAUUUAUUUACUGUUUAUCGCUGCGUGGCUUUCACGUCCACUCCCUCGGGAGUUGUACGGUAACUGAAUUAUCUGUCGAAUAAAUAUGUUAUCAGCCUCCUGGGACUGAUAUUUGUAUCACAUUUAGUCUCUACUUAUGUGGGGACGCUUCAGGUGGUAUCAGAGCCGUCGUUGGCUGUAGGACGCGACCUUAGGACCGGAUUAGCCCUUUUUGACCAAAACAAAAGAAUUACAAAAUUUCUUCCUACCUUUGCUCUAUUGUAAAACUAAUUUGUGCCCCGGAUCUUUUCCAGAUGGCCGAGGAAGGAUGGGUCAACAGCCACUGCCUGGAAGAGCCUGGUUUUCCCAGAUUGCUGUUCGCCUGCAUGGACCGCCUCGGGAUUUAUGAGCGUCCGGAGUACACCAGCAGGGAGUACGAGGACCGCGGGACCCCUCGAUGUGAGAUGAUCAUCUACAUCGGGCGGAGUAGCCACUAUCCGGAUAUCCAGCCAUGGAACGUGACUGCCACCGGCUUCCGGCACAAGGAUACCUAUCAAGUGGCAGCCCGGAAGGCCCUCCGUUUCCUGUGUCAGAUCUAUGAGAGGCACAUUGGCCGCACUCCGAUGAGGUUCUACCCGCCUGUCAAGAAAAACCGCCCGGUUUGGCUGGCCCGGGUACGGACCUUGGAAGGACGUGGACAGCGCGAGGAUGACCCCACUGUGCUGCACAUGGCUGCCUACCUUCUCACCUUGGAUGAACUCUACGACGAGCAGGCUGCUAAGUUGAAGCAGCAGACCCGUAGGGCCGAGGACGCAGAGGUUAUGGUGAGGAGGCUUCAGGUGAAGUUAGCCGCUGCCGAAGCCCGAGCCGCAGCCGCUCAAAGCAACGAGGCCAUUGCCGUUGAGGCUCUCAAGGAGGCUGAGGAUCGGCACACCAAGGAGCUGAAGGAUGCCCACCUCACUGUUCGUGCCAGAAGAAGGAUGGUGGCCAUCGAGGACGACGAGGCUCCGAUCCUUGAAGGGAUUCCCAUUCUUCCAGGGCCCAGUAAGCGGAAAAGUCCGGACGCCACCCCGGCACCACCACCUUCGGAAAGGAACUCCGAGGUGUCGGAUGGAGUGGUUCCCGAGACCCCUCCCACGGGCGGGACUCUGAAGGAUGAAGUGCUGGCCCUUCUCCUCCCAUUGGAGGAUCACUCAGUCCAAGGAGAAGACUCGCCCCGCGAGUAGUGUGCCCAGCCAGGAUUGCCCAAGGAAUGAAGCCGUCAUGGUCCGUAGUUUAGAGUUGUACCCCCCAGUUGUGUUGCUGUAACCGGUCGUGUAGUGCGUGUUUUGGCCUUACCCCCAGCAGUGUUGUACCCCCGUGGCAGAAUAAAUAAAAUCGUUUGUGUUUGUUGCUUGUUAGUCUGUGUGUUUGUCGACAGAGGUGGAUUCUGUCUCUUCGAAAAUACGAAAUAACCACUUUAAAGAUCACUAAAAUCCAAAUCAUACUCUCAUAAAAAGGUCUCACUCAAUCUGCAGAUGCCGCCCAAGCGUGCCACCAGGACUUCCCCCAGUCAGGCCCAUGCCUCCCCCAGUGCAGAGAGGCAGCCAGAAAGGCAGGAGCCGCCCCCGGCAGUACUCCCUGAGGAGCAGGAAGUAAGCCAGCCAGAAGGAAGGGGAGAAAGCCAAGUGGGAACGCAGCAAUCACCGCCCCCACCGGUUAUCGAUCUGGUUCAAGUGAUGAACAACCAGACCCUUCUGCUGGAAGCUCUGGCCAACGCCGUUACUCGCCAGAGGCCCCGCGGGCAGAACAUGAAUGAGAAGUUGACGGACUUCCUCCGGACCAAGCCACCCACUUUUGGCGGGUCUGUCAACCCUCUGGACGCAGAUGACUGGCUACGCGUCAUCCAGAGGAAGCUGGAGCCCUUUGGUUGUGAGGGCAGGGACAAAAUUCUCUUAGCUGCCCACCAGCUCACUGGGACUGCCCUAGCUUGGUGGGAGAACUACUGCUCUGCCGCCCAGGAUGCCUCCACUAUCACCUGGGAUGAGUUCGUGACGGAAUUCCGUCGCUACCACAUUCCCGCCGCCACCAUGAAGCGCAAGGCGGAUGAGUUCCGUGAGCUCCGCCAGGGCAACCGAUCUGUGGAGGAGUACACCUUCCAGUUCAUGGAGCUGGCUCAUUAUGCUCCAGAGGAGGUGGACAAGGAUGAGAAGAAGCAGGACAUGUUCAAGAAAGGCUUGAACGCGGAGCUGAGGACCCUGCUCACUCCCCAGAUCUACCCCGACUUCAACACCUUGAUGAACAUGGCCAUCUUGACCGAGAGGGCUAAGGCAGAAGAGUGGAGGGACAACAAGCGUCGGUUCCUGGAAAACAAGGCGCACCAGCAGGACCGAUUCCAGAAGCCAAGGAGCUUCGGUCACCCCUUGCCCAGAUCCCAAGCUCCCAUGCAUUAUCGGACCCAGUCCCAAGCAUCUGGUUCGCAUCAGACUGCUGCCCCAUUCAGGAGCCAGAACUCUAUCAAGGCCCCACAGAGCAGCGCCAGCCAGGUCACCAGCAAUGGUAGAGCAUGCUUCAACUGCAGAGAGCCAGGACAUUUCAUCGCCAACUGCCCCUAUGCCAACAAGCCAGCAGCAUCAGCCUUGUCCAACUCAGUAGCUGGACCCAGGGCCGCCCUGUCAGGAGCCAACCGUGUGCCAGUUCGCAGCAGCGGCAACCCCAGCAACAACAACAGCCAGCAGAUGAGGCCGCCCCAGCAGUCAUUCGGACGAGCCCGUGUCAACCACAUCGGCGCGCAGGAGGCUCGCGAAGCUCAAGGCGUGGUGCUCGGUGAGUUCCUAGUCAGCUCAGUCUUGGCAACAGUACUUUUUGAUUCUGGAGCAUCACAUUCCUUCAUAUCCUCAAGUUUUGUGGAAAAACAUCAUAUACCUACAGUACUACUAAAGUUACCCCUAUUAACCCGGACUCCUGGAGCCGACAUUCAGUGUCGACUAGGCUAUUCUCGGGUAAGGAUCAAUUUAAGUGGGGUAGAAUUUCUAGCAGAUCUAGUAGUACUUAAGUCUAAGAGGAUAGAUGUGAUUCUUGGAAUGGACUGGCUGAGCCUACAUGACGGUCAUAUAGGGUGUGCCGAUAAGGUAGUGCACCUGACCAAUCGAGAUGGUGUGCAAGUGACCUGUCACACUAAGGGAAGUGGUCCAGACCCCAUGGUGUUCAGCAUGGAGACCAAGACCUUAGAAGGAGUCCCAGUAGUGAGUGAGUACCCGGACGUCUUUCCUGAAGAACUACCUGGAAUGCCCCCUGACAGGGACAUAGAGUUCUUAAUUGACCUCGUCCCCGGAACCUCCCCUAUAGCUAAGAGACCCUAUAGAAUGGCAGCCUCAGAGUUAGCCGAGCUGAAGAAACAGUUGGGAGAGUUGCAACAGAGUGGCUUCAUCAGGCCCAGCUCAUCCCCGUGGGGAGCCCCCGUGCUUUUUGUCAAAAAGAAAGACGGGAGUAUGAGGAUGUGCGUGGAUUAUCGCGCAUUAAAUGAGGUCACCAUUAAGAAUAAGUACCCUCUCCCCAGAAUAGAUGACCUGUUCGACCAACUGAAGGGAGCCAAGUAUUUCUCCAAGAUAGAUCUGAGAUCGGGGUAUCAUCAGCUCAAGAUCAAGGAGAGCGACAUCCCGAAGACCGCCUUUGUCACCCGUUAUGGUCAAUUUGAGUUUACAGUGAUGUCCUUUGGAUUGACCAAUGCACCGGCUUAUUUCAUGAACCUCAUGAACAAGGUGUUUAUGGAUGAGUUAGAUAAAUUUGUCGUAGUCUUUAUUGACGACAUACUUAUCUACUCCAAGAGUGUUCAGGAGCAUGAACACCACUUACGGGUGGUCUUGGAAAAACUGAGAGCCCACCGACUCUAUGCUAAAUUCAGCAAGUGUGAAUUUUGGCUUGAGAAGGUGGCAUUCCUUGGUCAUAUCUUGACCGCGGAAGGAGUAGCAGUUGAUCCUGAGAAGGUGGAAGCCGUCUCCAACUGGCAACAGCCCACUAAUGUUAGUGAAAUCAGGAGUUUCCUGGGUUUAGCAGGGUAUUAUCGGAGGUUUAUUGAGGGAUUCUCCAAGAUAGCCCGUCCCAUGACAGAGUUGCUCAGAAAGGACAAGAAGUUCACCUGGACCGAGUCAUGUGAACGGAGUUUCCGAGAGAUGAAGAAGAGAUUGACAACAGCCCCAGUGCUAACCCUGCCAGACAUCCAGCGAGACUUCAUCAUCUACUGCGAUGCAUCCCGACAAGGAUUAGGGUGUGUCCUCAUGUAGGAUGGGAAGGUUGUGGCCUAUGCUUCCCGACAACUUAAGCCCCAUGAGCAGAACUACCCAACCCAUGACUUAGAAUUUGCAACCGUAGUGCAUGCCCUCAAGAUCUGGAGACAUUAUCUGAUUGGGAAUAAGUGUGAAAUCUACACCGACCAUAAAAGCCUAAAGUACAUCUUUACCCAACCCGAUCUGAAUUUAAGGCAGAGGAGGUGGCUAGAGCUGGUAAAGGACUACAACCUAGAAAUCCAUUACCACCCCGGCAAAGCUAAUGUUGUAGCUGAUGCCCUGAGCAAAAAGUCCUAUGGACAGCCCGGACCCGAGAAUGCCCGUCUACGAGAGGAAGUGGCCCGGUUGAAUGUGCAUAUCAUCCCCCAGAAUGCUAGCCGUAGGCUAAGUGUCCAGCCCACCUUGGAGGAUAAAAUCCGAGAAGCCCAGGGUUCAGACCAAGACUUAGCAAAAAUCCGCAAGCAAACCGGAGAAAAUAAAGCCCCGGAUUUCAGGGUAGAUGACAAAGAAACCUUGUGGUAUAAGAACAGAAUUUGUGUCCCCAAGGACGGAGAAUUCCGGCAGAUCAUCAUGGAUGAAGCCCAUAACUCAGCAUACUCCAUUCACCCCGGAUCCACAAAGAUGUACAUGGACCUAAAGCAGAAAUACUGGUGGAAUGGAAUGAAGGCAGACAUAGCUCAGUUCGUCGCCCGUUGUGACACCUGCCAAAGGGUCAAAGCCGAACACCAGAAGCCAGCCGGCUUGCUGCAACCUUUGACUAUCCCGGUUUGGAAGUGGGAUGAGAUCGGCAUGGAUUUUGUAGUAGGCUUGCGCAGAACUCAGAAGGGAAAUGACUCCAUAUGGGUAAUAGUGGACCGACUCACCAAGGUUGCUCACUAUCUGCCCGCACGGACCACAUACGGUGGAGAAAAACUGGCUCGACUCUACGUCGACAACAUAGUGAAGCUGCAUGGUGUGCCCAGCCGGAUCGUCUCAGAUAGAGGAACUCAGUUCACCUCUAGGUUUUGGAGGAGCUUACACAAAGCCAUGGGCACCAAACUGGAUUUUAGUUCAGCUUAUCACCCCCAGACCGAUGGCCAAACAGAGCGGGUAAAUCAAAUCAUGGAAGAUAUGUGGAGGGCGUGUGUCCUCACCUAUGGGAAGGAUUGGGAACAAAGUCUACCCUAUGCAGAAUGCUCAUACAACAAUAGUUACCAAGCCAGUCUAGGCAUGUCACCAUUUGAGGCUCUUUAUGGUAGAAAGUGUCAGACCCCUUUGAUGUGGUCAGAAGUCGGAGAACGUUCCCUGGUCGGACCAGCUUUUAUCAAGGAAGCAGAAGACCGUGUAGCAGAAAUCCGAGAGAAGCUGAAGGCUGCCCAGUCCAGACAGAAGAGCUACUCGGACAAGAGAAGACGGGAAUUGUGCUUCAAUGAGGGAGAUUUUGUCUACCUCAAGGUAUCCCCGAUUCGGGGUACUCGAAGAUUUCAAGUGCAAGGAAAGCUAGCCCCUCGGUAUAUCGGACCAUACCAGGUGUUAAAGAGAGUUGGAGCCGUAGCGUACCGUAUCCAACUGCCCGAAGAAAUGUCGGAUAUCCACCCGGUAUUUCAUGUUUCCCAGCUAAGAAGUGCCUGAGAGUACCGGAGGAACAAGUGCUAGUGGAAACAAUAGACCUACAAAAGGACCUUCGGUAUCAAGAAGUGCCUGUCAAGAUUUUGGACACUGUCACCAGAAGGACAAGAAAUACGACAGUUCGGAUAUGCAGAGUACAAUGGAGCAGGCAUGGCGAAGAAGAAGCCACGUGGGAACGCGAAGACGCGUUAAAGAAGGAAUUUCCCCAUCUCUUCAGGACUCAGUCGAAUCUCGAGGACGAGAUUCAAUUUAAGUGGGGUAGGUUUGUAACGCCCGCAGAAAUCACUAACUAAAAUCACCCGUUAAAAAACCGUCUUUAAAAUCUUUUUACCGCUGAGCUCCCGGAAAUCGGAAAUCUCCCCGGUGUUUUCGCCGUCCCGGUACCCAUGCCGGCCCCCACCUAUCUUUUUCCGUGCCCGUGAAUCUCGCCGCAUGCCGUUGUCAGACGCCGUGCGCGUGCCCCGACCGCGUGCCGCGAACGCCGCCGGUCUCUUCCUUUUUCCUUCUCUUUUUUCCCCCUUUUCUCCUUUUCUUUUUCCUUCUUCUUUCUUUCUCUUUCUUCUUUCUUCUUCCUUCCUCUCUCUCUCUCCUCCUCUUUCUUCUUCCUGGCACUCGGCGCCACCCCCCCUGGCGCCACACCUCCUGGCCGGCCAACGCCAUUUACUCCGGCGCCCCCAUCCCUGGCGCCAUACUGCCCCGUCGCCCGGACCCGCGCCGCCCGCCUGGGGUCCCGCCGGUCACCUCCGCCCGUCACCGGCCCCCUCGCUCAGCUCGGUCCCGCCAGUCACCUCGGCCCUGCCGGCGCGCCUGGCGCCACGCCGCCCGGCCGCCUUGGGCCUGCGCCCGGGGCACGUGCCGCCACCCGAGCCGCCGCCGCCGCCGCCGAAACCCACCACCGGCCGCACCCCCUUCCCUACCCAAAUCCCCGAGGUGAGUAGCAAAAUGGGGCCUCCCCGGACCCCUCCACCUUCUCCCGCCGCCUCCCCUCGCCGCCGGCGACCCUAGGCCGCCGCCCCCAGGCCCGGCCGUGCCCCUCCCUCUGUCCCCCUGUGUACUAUGCGCACCAAAGGAAGAAGAAACCCAAAAUUCCGAUCUAACCCCCUGAAAUCCACUAUUCGCGAAAUAGUCCUUCCACCACUCUUGUAGCAGUUUCACAAAUAAGCCCCUCCACCCCCAAAAGUAAUUACACAUAGGUCCCUGGUUUAUUAUAACUCAGCCCUAAGCCUCCGUUUAAGCCCCUAAUCCAUGUUUAACCCGUCAUUUCAUGCACCAAACUUCCUCCAAUUAAUCCCAAAUUUUACCACGUCAUCCUCUGGAAUACUUUCACCGAUCUAUAUCCAAAUUUCCCAGAAAUAAUCCUUCUACCUAUUUUCCGUUCGCGUUUCCUGUUCGGAGCUCACGGUUAAAAAUCGUUUCCUCUUUUAUUUAUUUGUGUGUCUAAUUGUGUGUGCCGUAGAUCGCGGAUUGACCGAGGAGGAGCCCGAGGAAGAGUUUGACCGCGAGCCCGAGCCCGAGGACCAGUACCGCGAGCCGGAACUCCCGGAAGGCUUUGAAGACGGCAAGUCCAAUCUCACCCUUUGAUGCAUACUUAAUACCUAGUUUUUCAAACACAACCUAUUGGCCUGUUUUACAAAAUGCAUAUUAUUUUAUCACAAGACAUGGUUGGAUAGCCACCCCUUGAUUGUUAUGAACAUUCCUUGUUGUCCUAUGCCUAUCUCUAAAUAUGACUCGCUCUGUUUAGAUGAUAGCCACUGCUAGAACGCUUAGGAAAUUGUGACUCAACUGCAAUCAUUAUUACAAUAAGUGUAUUCGGAAAAUAAGUGUGUGUGUGUGUCCACGCAAGAGAAAUGGCUUUUGGGGUUGGGGGAAAAGGAUGUGUAGACGGGAUGGAUGGGUGUUCCUCGUGUGGGAUGCCAUGUUGUUGUGCUCGUACCUUGGUGGUUGAGCAAUGUCGGGAGAUAUCCAUCCUGUCGUAAUUAAGGACCGAGUUGAUGUGUCAUCUUGCCUAAUUCCACUAUCGUGCAACCACUCGACCGUUGUAUGGGCAACGCCUUAGCAUAAAUCCCACUAGCUGGAUGGUUAGUCCUCAGGGGUGCUGGUGAGCAACGGGAACCCAUGGAAAAGGAGUAAGAUCUUGGUGACUUAGGUCCCGGUUACGGUCUCAUGGACGAGCCGUGAACCCCUUGGGUGUUUUCCGUGAGGGCUAGCCAGCCUUAGCUAAGGUGGGUAAUGGCUUUGUUAGGAUCCGUACCGUCACUAAGGUGAUCGUGCUGCGGUACCCUACUUGUGGGAAAAGUGUACACCCUCUGCAGAGUUAAAACCUAUCUGGGUAGCCGUGUCCACGGCAUUGGACGAGUUACGGCUUGGUCACAUAACUAGCAAUUGGGCAAGAAUGUCAUGUGUGUGUGUGUGUGUGUGGGAUUUUGGAAGAGUCCGGCAGUUGUGCCGUGCGCUAUGACGGACGGGGAGUCCGAUAGCGAUAAAAACUUGGAUCCUUUGUGUAGGAUCAACCCCACUCAAUGUCUCGAGUAUUAAAGGAAAACCUUACAAAAACCCUUUCAAAACGAUCCCCUGCAUGUGUUAAAAUUUAGCUUUUCCGCAAAUAAACUCUAGCCUAUCCUUGUCAUACUUGUGCAUAAACUUGCUUGUAUCCCCUCCGUGGAUGGGGUUGGACUUGUUGAGUACGUUAGUACUCACCCUUGCUUCAUUACUACAGAGGAAGACCCCGAUUUCAUCGCAGAGGACCUCGAGUAGAGGUUGUGUCCGCACCCGAUGCUGCCUGUGGUGUUGUCCUGCCCAAGAUGCUGCUGCUGCCGUGUAGUCCUGAGUGCUAUCUUUUGGCAGUCGCUUGGUUAGCCGCCGUUAUUUAUUUACUGUUUAUCGCUACGUGGAUUUCACUCCCACUCCCUCAGGAGUUGUACGGUAACUGAAUUAUCUGUCGAAUAAAUGUGUUAUCAGCCUCCUGGGACUGGUAUUUGUAUCACAUUUAGUCUCUACUUAUGUGGGGACGCUUCAAAGCCGAUGGACUGUCAUUGCCCUGCAAUUAUAACAUCGAUGCGAUGCAGAUGCUACGACUAAACAGAAAACCGGUGAGGAACUCAUGCGGAUGAUAGCCCUUUGUGCCGAUGUCGACGUAGCCGAGGUGAGGACAAAUAGCCAUGGUCGAGGAUGCCGUGCGUAGGGUAGCUGUGGUCGACGUAGUCGUCAAGGUUGCCGAAAACGAGGGAGUUGGACAUGAAGCUGCGGGCGUACGAGGAGACACCACGGGGAUGGUGGCGCAUAGGGGAAGACACCAAAGACGAAGACGGUGACGCGUCGAGGCAAUUGUAGAAGGAGAGGUCGAUGCGGAAGUCGAUGCUGUCAGGCCGACGUGUAGACCAGGCAUAUCCGGGUUUGCCAAGCCCGGAAACACGUCGGGGAUGAUGGCACGCACCAAUGUUGCCAAUACUAAACGUGCAAGGUAGAGGGCACCGGCCAUGUGUCAGCGUCUGAGGGACUAGCAGAGGAGGCCUCCAGGAUGGUUGCGGGCGCGGAAUGGCGUGGGGGUAGAAGGUGCCGAUGCAGCCUGCGGUUGUCGGAGUAGAAGAAUGAGGUGGAUAUGAGACGGCAACACUGGCGACGAGGUGGUGCUGGACGAAGUAAGGAGGUAGACCCUAAUGAUUUGGCGCAAGGCCCGAUGAUCCGGAUGAUGCAGUGGUGGAGCUUAAAGGAGAUGGCGAAGAACUCGAACACCUUGAUGAAGACCAUGUGCGUGAUGCGCACAAUGACGUAGUCGUGGACAAGGUUGCAGACGCUGUCGAGGAAGACGACGUGGACGUGGUUGAGGAUGUAGUCAAUGGCGAUGAAGAUGCAACGACGGGGAGGACCAGGGAUGGCAGCGCUGUUGCUCGAAGAGGCAAAGUAGCCGCAACCCUCAUGUCGGUGGUGGUGCGCACGUACUUAGGACAACCGUCCCAAAUCCGCACAUUCCGCGACCAUGCAUUAUUAACUGAUCGGACAAGGGUGCACGUAUGAGAUGACGGACGACGAUGUCGUGCAGAUCGGAGUGGUAGCAGCGAUGUCGGGGAUGACCGGCGUGGAGAUCGUGUGGCAGAUGGACCUGGUGGUGCCCCUACGCGAACCGCACGCUAGCCCGGACCACACAGGUGUUGAAGAGGAAGGCCGAUGACGAUGUCCAAGAAAAGGAGCGCAGAGUCGACUGGCGUGGGCGACGCAAACCCAAUAUCUGAUAGGAAGAAAAAAAAGGGACAGCAGUAGGAUCGAUCUUCAUAUAGAACUCUGGGUGCGCAUAGCUUUAUUUCCCAACUCCUUAUCUCUUCCCGUCCUGGUGGUCAACGGAGACAGGAGAAAAGAAUUGAGGUCUUGUUUAGUUGCCCAAGUUUGGAGGUGCCAAAUUACUGCUAUAGCACUGUAGCACACUGUAGCAUUUCGUUUGUAUUUGUGAAUUAUUAUCCAAACAUUGACUAAUUAGGCUCAAAAGAUUCGUCUCGCAAAGUACAACAAAACUGUGCAAUUAGUUUUUUCUACAUUUAGUACUCCAUGCAUGUACCGCAAGUUUGAUGUGAUGGGGAAUCUUCUUUUUGCAUAGUGCCAAAGUUGCGAGUUGGGGGUGAACUAAACAAGGGCUGAGAGAGAGGGAGAACGUGGCCUGCAGCGCAUGUCAGCGGUGCGUCUCGCAGAGUUUGGUCAGCCCUGUGUCCCUGACGGCAGCGCCGCGCAGGGGUGCCCAUGCACGGCACAACGUAGGGGGUGUUUGAAUACUAGGUGCUAAACUUUAGCAGUGUCACAUUGGAUGUUCGGAUGCUAAUUAGGAGGACUAAACAUGAGCUAAUUAUAAAACUAAUUGCAGAACCCAUAUGCUAUUUCGCGAGACGAAUCUAUUAAGCCUAAUUAAUCCAUCAUUAGCAAAUGGUUAUUGUAGCACUACAUUGUCAAAUCAUGGACUAAUUAGGCUUAAUAGAUUCGUCUCGCGAAUUAGACUCCAUCUGUGUAAUUAGUUUUGUAAUUAGCCUAUAUUUAAUACUCCUAAUUAGCAUCCAAACAUCCGAUGUGACAUGUGCUAAACUUUAGCAUUGGGUAUCCAAACACCCCCGUAGUAUGGAAUCGCCACGCCGGUGGCAGAGCAUGUCGUCGGGAUAGGCCACGCAGCUUGGCUGGCCACGGUAGCGACACCGCCGCCCACCGGCUGCAGCGGAGGGGAUCUGGAUGGCGACGACACGACCCCACCCGGCUCGUGACCAAGCUUCAAUCUGUUGCUGCUUGACACGACGCGGGCGACGGAAUCAGCCGCUGAAAGAAGGACGCUGCCCCUAGCGAGAUUGAUCUCCCCGGAGGAGCACGGUUAGGGUUUGUCGUUAAGAAUUAGUCGUAAAAAAUUAGAACCUAAACUUGUGAUACCAUAUAGAAGGAAUAGAUUACGUAUAAUCGAUGUAUUGAUGGUUAUUGCAUUGAGCUUCUCGGCCGGUACAUAUUAAGUACAAGAUUUGGGGGCGAAGGCUCCCCGGAUACAUAUGGUAUCUACGACACGUAUAUCUACAACUACCAAAUAUACUCUAACAGUUCGUUUUGUUUUGGAGAUUCUUAUUGUAUAUCAGCACGCCAGGUUGAUAGUCCUGUUGGAACAAUAUCCAUGAAUUUAUCACCAUUUAAUAGCAGAUGCAUGCAAGUAGAGUGUCACUCCAUCAGCUUUCAACCACUUUAGAUUCAAGGGAGAUCUUUCUGUAAAUCACACUGUGGACUCUACAUGUUGUGGUUAUUAUUUCACUCAUCACAUUUGGUCAGAACUCUAAAGUUCAUUAUAGUGCAACGAGCCCAUAUAAACGUGACAGUUCAUAACGAUUUACUGUUACAAUCAAUUCCUAUAUUCAAAACAAAACAACAUGAAUUUGCAAUAGGGCAGAGUACUAAAUUCCAUAAUAUUAACCGCCCUUGUACUUGUUCUACUCUGUGUUUUAACUUCAAAGGUACAUGACAACUGGAAAAGAAGUCUAGAAGAGAUCCCAGAGUAUGCGUCACUUGAAGCGGAUUGCAAACAAGUGAAAGGAUGUAUGGAAAUUGCAAUAAACUGCAAGAAGAAGAAGCGUCAUGAAAGGCCUACAAUAGAGGAUAUUAUCAGCAAAUUAGAUGAGACGGAAACUGUUAAAAUUGACACGCAGUUGUCAAUUAAAAAGGUACAACCUAUCAUUCAUCUUAUAUAUGUAAAAAAUAUACAACCCAUAGUUUAUUUGUCCCUAAAUAUUACCAGUGGUCGAAAAUAUAUACUUGGCUCUUUAUACGUCCACAUGGCAACUUUCACUAUGUUUGUUUUUAAAUAUUUAAGUUGGAAACAGGGAAAAUAAAUUGUUUGAUUUGUGUCGGAAACAUGCAUAUAUCGAAUAUAAAAGUGAGCAAAAUACUCAUGACUCUCAGUAUAUUAAUGUCUCUCUUUCUUGCCACUGUUAAUUUUGUAUGCUGUAAUUCUAACUAGAGGUGCGCGCGCGCGUUAGAAAAUAAGUCUACAACAGAUCCCAGAGUAUGCCAUCAUGUGAAUUCAUACCGACACAAGUCGAUGAGAUAUCAGCCACGGCCCUUGCAAUCGUAGAAUACAAGACAAAAACAAUAAGUUAACUAGCUGUGCAGAUAUAAACGAGAGGCCGACGUCUCUGGAAUUAGCCACCGUCUCCUAUACGAAGGAAUGAACCACGACGAAACAUGAUUAGAUUAGUAGACGCCCGUCUGUGCAAAAUCACUAACAAUGUGCCAAAAAUAAAUUAAUUAGCUUUAGGAUCUGUGCUAUUUUUUUAAAGGAGCGCCGGAGCAAAAUUCACAAUGUAAUUUUUACUUUAUUUCGUAGGAUGAGCAAACACCAUUUUCCUAAGAUUUCCCAUUUGUUUUUAUUGACAGGGUUACUUUGAAGAAUCCAGAUUCUUAUCUAGUGGCAUCCUGGGCAGGCCAUGUCAAUGUUAGUAAUGUUACAUUUAAAAUAGAUCCCUUCAUUUACUAAAUAUUUAAUUUAUUUUUAUUGAAGUUUGAUAUCGAUAUAAUGUAGCAUGCUGUGUGUUGGUGUAAUUGUGUUGUUCAGUACAAUCGGCUGGAGCGGUACUCCUUGCUGUCACGAAGAUAGGUUCCAUUUUAGGAGAUGAAACCUCCAAGGCUGUUAUAAAUAAGCUGUCUUGGAAAGUUCAUUCUCUGAAGGAACUGCCAUGGAAAGUCGAUCAAAUAAGGAUGAAUCUGACAUUCAUGAGCCAAAUUAUACAGCAGAUUGGAACAGUCUACCUCACAGAUGAGCUUGCCAAUAAUUGGAUCGGGGAGGUCCGGAAGGUGGCUUACCGUGUUGAAGAUGUAGUAGACAAAUACUCAUACCAUGUUUUUCAACUGACGCAAGAAGGGUUCCUGAAGUUCUUCAUCAAGGGAACCCAUAAUGACAUUGUUUUCAGCGCAAUUACAGAUGAGAUAGCUCAUAUUGAAGAGGAGAUUAACCAAGUUAUUCAUAUGAAGGAUAAGUGGUUACACCAAACACAGCUUGUCUCUAACAAUCAACAACUUGCUGAGAUUGAAAGGCAGCGGUCCCAAGAUGGUUUCCCAGAUUUUGUCAAAGAUGAAGAUCUAGUAGGAAUUGAAAAAAAUAGAAAAUUGCUGUCUGGAUGGCUGUACUCGGAUGAGCUGGAUAGCACCGUGAUAACAGUUUCGGGUAUGGGUGGGUUGGGAAAAUCUACCCUGGUAACAAAUCUUUAUGAACGUGAAAAGGUCAACUUCCCUGUGCAUGCUUGGAUUGUUGUGUCACAGAUCUGCCCGGCAGACGCUCUGUUGAGAAAGCUACUCUGGAAGAUUGGGAACAAGAGGGCAGUACACGACUUGAAUUGACAAAAUGGAUGUACACGACUUGAAGGCAGAAAUAAAGAAAAAACUCCAAAAUAGAAAAUGUUUGAUUGUAUUAGAUGACGUCUGGGAGCAAGAGGUAUACUUCAAAAUACAUGAUGCUUUCCAGAAUCACCAAGCAAGUCGUAUUAUACUUCAAAAUACAUGAUGCUUUCCAAAAUACAUGAUGCUUCGUUGGACCAGCACCUUGAGCUAGAACCAUUGGAUGGCCCUGAUGCAUUUGACCUUUUCUGCAGAAGGGCUUUUCACAACAACAAGGACCACAAAUGCCCCAAGGAGUUUGAGGAAAUUGCUACAUCUAUAGUGGAUAGGUGUCAUGGCCUGCCGCUGGCAAUUGUUACUAUAGGCAGCUUGUUGUCUUAUUUGGAAUACAUUAUUUGGAAUCAAACAUAUAAUCAGCUAAGGAGUGAGUUGUCAACAAAUGAUCAUGUCCGAGCAAUAUUAAACCUAAGCUAUCAUGAUCUAUCUGAAGACCUCAGAAAUUGCUUUUUGUAUUGUAGCUUGUUCCCUGAAGACUACCCCAUGUCACGAGAAAGCCUUGUGCGACUGUGGGUUGCAGAAGGCUUUGUUCUGAGCAAAGAAAAGAAUAAACAUUUGGAAUCAAACAUAUAAUCAGCUAAGCUUUUUGUACUGCAAAUUGUCAACAAAUUGCUUUUUGUACUGCAGCUAGUUCCCUGAAGACUACCCCAUGUCACGAGAAAGCCUCGUGCGGCUGUGGGUUGCAGAAGGCUUUGUUCUGAGCAGAGAAAAGAAUACACCAGAGGAGGUGGCUGAGGUAAAUCUCAUGGAACUGAUUCACCGCAAUAUGCUUGAAGUUGUGGACUGUGAUGAGCUCGCAAGAUGCAUAAUAUUAUGCGGGAUCUGGCACUCUCCAUUGCCAAAGAAGAAAAGUUUGGUUCUGCAAAUGAUUAUGAAGCAAUAAUACAGGUGGACCCACAUGUUCGCCGAUUGUCAUUAUGUAGGUGGAAAGUUAAUACUUCACUUAAGGUUAAAUUUCCACGUCUCAUGGAAUGAUUUCGUCCACCCAUGAUUUGUUACCCUCAAUUUUGUCUGAAUCAAAGCACUUGACUGUUCUAGAGCUGCAAGAUUCUAAUAUCACCGAGGUGCCCACAUCUAUAGGGAAUCUCUUUAAUCUGCGGUACAUUGGGUUAAGGCGCACCGAUGUCAAGUCACUCCCAGAGUCCAUUGAGAAUCUCUUGAAUCUCCACACUCUGGACAUCAAGCAAACCCAAAUAGAAAAGCUACCACGAGGUACUGUUAAUGUUAAGAAGUUGAGGGACCUUUUGGCCGACAGGUUCGCUGACGAAAUGCAGUCAGAUUUCAGAUUUUUUAUCGGAGUCGAAUCACCUGAAGGGCUGUCGAACCUGGAAGAACUGCGGACUCUAGAGACAGUGCAAGUGAGCAAAGACUUGGCUGAGCAGCUGAAGAAACUGAUGCAGCUCAGAAGCGUAUGGAUAGACAAUGUAAGUGCUUCUGAUUGUGCAAACCUUUUUGCGACCCUAUCGACGAUGCCACUUCUUUCCAGCCUGCUUAUCUCUGCAAGAGAUGUGAAUGAGACACUUUGCCUCCAAGCCCUUGAUCCGAUUUCCACAAAGCUCCACAGGUUAAUUGUAAGGGGCCAGUGGGCUUCUGGGACACUGAAGUAUCCGAUAUUUCGCAAUCAUGGGGAACAUCUCAAAUAUUUAGCGUUAAGCUGGUGUCAGCUUGGAGAAGAUCCAUUGGGUGUGCUCGCUCCACACGUGCCAAAUCUCACCUAUUUAAGUCUUAACAGGGUGAAUAGUGCAAGCACUUUGGUUCUUUCUGCUGGGUGCUUUCCUCACCUGAAGACGCUCGUCUUGAAGCGAAUGCCGGAUGUCAAGCAGAUGGAAAUCGGAGAUGGUGCUCUUCCACGUAUUGAAGGUCUUUACAUUGUGUCCCUAGCACAGCUGGAUAAGGUUCCUCAAGGCAUCGAGUUGCUUCUUUCUCUGAAGAGGCUUUGGCUGCUGUACCUGCACGAUGAGUUUAAAACUCUGUGGCAAACGAGUGGGAUGCACCAGAAGAUGCAGCACGUUCCAGAGAUUCGUAUCUAGGACAACUAGAUGGUAAAUUCUCCAUUGGUAUGCUUGUAUGAUGUGUCUGCUCAGAACUGUGUUUGUUGGGCACUUUAUCCCUUUUUAUUCCAAUAAGCCAUGAAUUCUUCCUUUUGAUUUUUUUUAUUGUACAUUGAAACACCCAUGUAUGUGCUGUGUGUUGGUUCAGUUGCUUUAGGAAUACUACUUUUGUUCAAGAACACUUCCCUUCUGUAUUUAACUUUUGUAAAUGAUGUUAUGAUCAACAGAUUUUGUGCAUGUGAGGUGCAUAAUAUGUGAACUUACAAACCAGCAGAAUAUUCAUAAUUUCAGGGCGUUUACUUUAUUUAUAUGCUACUAAAUUGAACAGUGCUCUUCACUUUGCCACUAACUUUUUGCUUUUCAUUUUUUAUGCUGUUAUUCCAGAUGGUGCUUCUAGAAAGUUCAAUUUCUCGUAAUUCUCAGUCAAUUUUCCAUUAGCACCCAAAAAUACUGAAAAAUCCUUCAGAAAAAGCUCCAAAAAAUGUAGAAAAUUAUUUUGAACUAAGAAAAAUAGUGAAAGCCUGAAAGGUACUCCCCCCACACACACGCACACCCCAAACGAUGAAAGAACGUCGUAAACUCUUAAUCACUGAAAAAAUAUUUUCUAAAACAAUAUGUGCAGAGAAAACUAUCCUACAAAUUUACUUUUGUUGAAAUGUGUACGUUUCGAUCUUUACCAGCUCUUAUGGAAAAUCCUUUUUAAAGGAUUUCUACUAUAUUGUUUUUCUUCAAAGAUGAUAUAAAAAAUUUGUUUAAAUGGUCCGGGUUUUUUCAUGCUCUUUUUUACAUUUCCUAUGAUAUUUCAUGAGCUUUCUGUGAUCUUUAGCACAUUCUUUUACGUAUUUUUAGAGACCAUGUAGAUGAGCUUUCGCAAUAGAAUCAAAGUUGUGAUAGCAUGUUUAUUACUUGCAUUCUAAGGAAAUAGUGCCAUGAAUAAAUGAGAUGUGCUAAACUUCACAUGGCCAAGUUAAGAGCAUUGUUUGAGUUGAUGUUAUAAAGUAAAUGAUCUCGUAGAAAAAUAAAACAUUUGGGCACUAAGACACAUACUUUAUAAAAAUAAGUUCCUUUAGGAAACUAAAGGUUAUUACAAAUGAACUUCCUUUUGGUAGAUUUAUUCAUCAAUAAAGACAUUAUGUAAAUCACAAUCAAUUAAGACUUUGCAAAAACAGUUGGAAGACCUUUCUACGUGUUUUCUUCCUUUUUGAUUUUGCUUAUAAAAGAUGAUAGUUUGUUAGGGGAACUCACCUAAUAAUAUUUACAUGAUGCCAAAUAUCUAAGCUGUUCGAUUGGGCGUUUCGAGUGCAAUCAGAUGAGAUCCCACAUUGUAAGGGACUACAUUGGUCCUCUUCUGAUCAAGACACCGUCGAGAGCUCCGAUCCGCCGUGGCCCCUCCCUUUGUCCCGAUGAUGGCUCCGCCGCCGCCGGCCGGAUACUCUGGCGCUGUACGUCUUGGUGGUGCCGAGCCGAGGCGAUCGACUGCAGGGAUCUGGAACGGCAAGCGGCCAAGCCUACCUCAUCGCCCUGCCGCCGCUGCCCGCUGGAGUCGAUGAAACCCAUGGUUGAAGAGCGGGAAGGCGAGGUCCUACUACUCGACCGGCCGACCCCUCCCACCACUGAACUUUGGUUUGGAUCAGAACUCAGGUGAUCGCCCACUUCCAUCUCUCCUAUGUAUUCCUUUUCCAUUUGUUCCAAUAAAACACUAUUAUUGAACUGAAACCAUCUCCCAAACGAACUGAACAAAUCUCCUAAGAAAUCCAGCAAACAACGGUGCAUUUGCAUUCCAUUACCCGUCAUUCCGUUGUGUGUAUGAAGUAAUAAUCCGUAGCAGGCCUCAGGUUUCCGAAUGUCAUAUGUUCAUUGACAUCUUGGAUAGCAUAAUUAUCAAACGAACUAUGUUCACUUUAAUACAGAUUCUAAAUGGGGGAAAACAUGUAGACAUGCAGAAAGGUGCAGGAAAUACUCCUGGUUUACAAGAAAAUGAUACAACACUUGCAACCUAUGAGGCUAUUACUGAAUUCAAAUACGAUGGAAAAAGUAUUGUAGCUAUAACUCAAGAGUGGAGUAAUUUAGACAAUGGAAUGAUAAGAUACUUCAAUGAUCAUUAAGGAAGGAAAUUUUAUGACUUGAGAUGGACCACCUUGAAAUAUUCUUCAUAGUAGUCUGGCGAACCAAAUUAUGUAGUAACUCUACUAGCUCACGAGAAUCCUCCACUGAAUGUUUCACCUUUUGCUCAAAAAAAAGGGCAUCAUAAACCAUGGGGACCUAUCUUUGGGUAGAAGUACAUGGAUCAAUUUUAAAUUUUUAUUUUCACUUAUCUUUAAUUUGCAGUUAUUGCCUUGUGCUAUGAAAUUCAGGUGCUAAAAAAUUUAUUAAUUUUAGAGUUAGUGUUAGAGUUUUAUUUGUUUCUGUAAAGGUGAGGCCGAUAUCCCUAAAGGUACAACAACUUUAUUUAACCAACUCUUUUUUUGCAUAAAAUGGGCGACAGUAGUCAGAGCAAGUGGUUGAUCAUCACAUUUAUUUAAAAUUGCUGCUGAAUCAGGCUGCAAGUAAUCUGAAUAUUCCCCUGGACAAGCAUUUCUCAGAAACAAUUGCUUUGAGUGUUUCUCAUCAAGUCUUCUCAUUUUGUGUAUGUAACCGUGGGUUGAGCUGCAGGUAUUGGCUACUGACUGGAUUUUUGUUGUCACCACUAUUCUACUGCUAACAUCUCGAGGGAAGGCAGACUUUACGAUACUCCAUUGAUCUGACCUCAUGCCAUCAAUUACGAUGAAGUACCUGGAAUAUUUAGAAAUGAGGAUAUAAAAGUUAUCAAAGAGUUAUUCUGCAACAACAGUAAACUAAUGGGUCAAGGAAGAAAGAACAGUUUUCUUAUUGGACUGCAUUGAGCAUCACAUAUAUAACAUAUAUAUAAUUUCUGUAGUUUAAAGGAAUAACUGAUGUUUACUGAUAUAUGCUUUCAAAGAAUAACAUACAUAUGCUUUAAGUAGUGACAUAUUCACACUUGGAGUAUAUAAUAUGGCCCAAAUUAGCAACUGAUUUAUGCAGUUCUUUCAGAUCCCUUUAGUUUUCUUAGCUAUUUCAGAAAUUUCCUUCCGCUUAUCAUUCACCCAGUAUAGGGAGCACAUAUUUCUACAUGUCACUUCCCAAAGAGAAGUCUCCUUUUCUUUUCUCCUUAUACUAGAAGUCUCAGACAUUAGAUUCAAAGUGUUUGUAGGUAGUUCAACUGAGUGCAUGAAUCUUUUCUGAAUCCUCAACAUGUUCUGUACGAGAAACUAUCUGAAUCUUUCAUUUCUCAUAGCCGAUGUCUUUCCUGACUAUCUAUGUUUAUGGAAAGAAUUUCAUUUCGAUGAUAACAUUCAGUAAUCAGACUAAUGAGUAAAGUACUAUUUUCAUUUUGCUAAAGGAUGGUAGACAGUUUCUACCUCUUGUUAUUCAGGAAGUUGCAAAGAUCAGCACUGUGUUAGGAUCUGAACUGUAACUCUCAUCGAGAGGAUGGCACUAGGAAGAGUUGGGGCAAUUUUCUGGAUUUUCUUUCCACAAUACCAUGUCCAACCAAGGGUUGGGGAUACAUAUUUAUAGCUGGCCUGGCAGCCAACCAGCCAAGCAUCAAGGCAUAUGCUAGUCUAAGAUGCCUUUGAUGCUGUCCUAUCUAGUCUAAGAUGCCUAUGACUGUCUUACCCUAAAAGUAGUCAACAAAGUGGUGCUGCAGCAAGCAUAUGCUGCAGCCCCACUGUCCUCCAGUCAAAAACAGCUGCAGUCCCACAAGGACCAGCAGCACAAGACCAAGUACAGCAGCUGGUCCUUGAAGACCAGCAGGACUAGUACAGCAGCUGGUCCUUGAAGACCAGCAGGACCAGUACAGCAGCUGGUCCUUGAAGACCAGCAGCAAGACUUAUCCAGCAUUCUUCCCCUAAGUCUUGUGCGUCGUCUUGUGGGAAAGUUGGACCAUCCCGGUCCUGGAACAGAGCUCAAGGAACUUGAUCCUCCCAAGGGGCUUGGUGAUUAGAUCCGCAAGCUGAUCCUUGGUGUUGAUAGAGCUCGCCUUGAUGCUUGCUUCCUCCAAACAGCCUCGGAUGAAGUGAUACCUCACCCGGAUGUGCUUGCUCCGCUCAUGAAAAACGGGGUUCUUUGCCAGGGCCAGAGCGAACUUGCUGUCCACCCUAAGCUCCACCGCUCUAGUGUCUCUGCCAAGGAGAUCACCGAGCAGUCGGGCAAGCCAAAGCGCCUGAGUCGAAGCAAUGGAGGCCGCUAUGUACUUGGCCUCGCAGCUGGACAGCGCCACCACCUGCUGCUUGACCGACUGCCAGCUAAUGAGGCACUUGCUGAGGAAGAAGAGAAUCCCGCUCGUGCUCUUGCUAGUGUCGAUGUCGCCGGCGUGGUCGCUGUCGCUGUACCCGACGAAGUGUGCCGCCCCGGGACACCUCGGGUAGAAGAGAUCAUGGUCGAGGGUCCCCGCAACAUAGCGGACGAUCCUCUUCACGGCCUACUGGUGCUCCAUCGUCGGUCGCUGCAUGAACCGACUGACGUAGCCGACGGAGAAUGCCAAGUCCGGUCGUGUGUGGGCGAGGUAGUGAAGGCUCCGCACAAGAUGCCAGUACUGCGUAGGAUCUACCUCCUCCGUCGUGCUGUCGCGGCUCAGCUUCAGCCUCUCCUCCAUCGGAGUGAGAGCUGGGUUGCAGUUGGUGAGCCCGGCUAGCUCCACGACGCGCUUGGCGUAGGCGGUCUGUCGAAGCGUGAUCCCGGAAUCAUCCUGGUGCACCUCGAUCCCCAGGUAGAAGGAGAGAGGCCCUAGAUCACUCAUCUGGGAGGUGGCCUUCAUUUCUUCCUUGAACGCCGCCACCUCCGCAUCCUUGGUGCCUAUGAUCACCAAGUCGUCGACGUAGACACCUACCAGCAAGGCAUUUUCUCCAGUGCCCCGCCAGUAGAUGGCCGCCUUGUGCGGGCUUUGCUCGAAGCCCAUCCCUUUGAGCGUGGAAUCCAACUUGGCAUUCCACGCCCUCGAUGCCUGCCGCAGGCCAUAGAGGGCCUUGCGCAAGCGUAGCACCUUGCCUUCCUUGUUGGGGAUCGCAAAACCCGGCAGCUGGUGCACGUAGACCUCCUCCUUCAAGUCGUCGUUAAGAAACGCCGACUUGACGUCCAUAUGAUGAACGCGCCAGCCUUCCUGGGUGGCCAUCGCAAGGAGGAGUCGCACGGACUCCAUCCGUGCCACGGGGGCGAAAGCAUCGUCGAAGUCGAUCCCCUCUUGCUGCACGAACCCACGUGCUACCAAGCGAGCUUUCUGCUUGACGAUGGCACCGGCUUCAUCCCUCUUCAGCUUGAACACCCACUUAAUCGCACGGUGGCCACGAGGGAGGUCAGCAAGCUCCCAGGUGCGGUUCUUCUCAACCACGUCCAUCUCCGACUGCAUCGCGGCGUGCCAUGCCGCGUGUCUCUCGGCCUCCGCGAAAGAUCGAGGCUCGCCAUCAUCGCACACAAGGUGCAACUGUGCCUCCAGGUUGUGAGGCACCAGUCCUGGCACCGGCUGGUCGCCGAGGAGAUCUUCCAUCGUACGGUACCGCAACUGCUCGCCGUCGUGGUACACGUCGAUGCGCUCCUCGUCGUGAGAGAGCGGAGUAGCGAACUCCACCGGGCUGUGCUUGACAUGAGCUGGUGUCGGAGUAAACGUGCCCGGAGGGAUGGCCGUCAGUGCUGGAAUACGUGGCGUCGCCGGCUGUGGUGGUGCCGGCGAGAAUCUCGUCGCAGCCAAAGUCGCGGCUGGAGAGCGUGGCGCUGCCGGAGUAGCAGGCAUCGGAGUCGGUGGAGGUUCAGGGAUUGGGGUAGGCACACUCGGCGAAGAAGAGCUGCCUACUCCCCCAGCUUCCUCAAAGUGGAUGUACUCGACACUGAAGUUGUCGUACGUCGGAGUCAAGCUGUCGUCCACCGCCUUGUCCCACGCCCAUCCUCACCCUUCGUCGAACACAACAUCGCGCGCUGUGCGCACACGCUGUGUCUCCGGGUCGAGAAUGCGGUAGGCCUUCAAACCCUCCGCGUAGCCGAUGAACACUCCUGGAGUGCUCCUGUUGUCAAGCUUGCCGAUGUGGCCAAGCUCCUUGGCAAACGCGAGGCAACUGAAGACCCGCAGGUGGGACACCGCCGGCUUGGACCCAUGCCAAGCCUCGUAUGGCGUCCUGCCGUCGAGCACCUUGGUGGGUGAGCGGUUGAGGAUAUAGACAGCCGUCACCACCGUCUCUCCCCAGAGAACAGCCGGCAUCCCUAUCUGCUUGAGGAGGGCCUGAGUCAUCCCGACAACCAUCUGGUUGUGCUGCUCGACGAUGCCAUUCUGCUGCGGGCUGUACGGCACGGAGUAGUGGCGCUGAAUGCCCUCAUCAGCGUAGUACGACGCGAACUCAGCCGCCAUGAAUUCGCCGCCGUUGUCAGUGCGCAGCACGCGCAGCUUGCGGCCGCACUCCGCCUCCGCAGCAGCCUGCGUGCGCCUGAUGGCGUUCGCAGCCUCCCCCUUGCUGCCAAGGACCAUCACCCACAUGUAGCGGGAGAGGUCGUCGACGAGCAGCAAGAAGUAGCGUCGUCCUCCGGGUGUGGCCGGUGUCACCGGGCCACACAAGUCCCCGUGCAUAAGCUCGAGCCACUCCUUGGCUUGGAAGCUCGCGUGCUGGGGAAAGGGGAGCCGCCUCUGCUUUGUCAACACACAGACAUCGCAGAACUGCUCCACGUGAUCGAGACAUGGUAGGCCUCGCACCAUCUCCUUGGCAUUGAGCCGCUUCAGGGCCUCGAAGUGAAGGUGCCCGAAGCGCUCGUGCCACUGCCACGCCUUGUCAUCCUAAUGAGUAGCGAGGCAGCAGGGUUGUGCCACCUGCACAUUAAGGAUGUAGAGUCGAUUUGCGCCUCUGGUUACCUUGGCAAGAAGGCGACGACGACGGUCCCAAAUCUUCAUGACUCCGUCGUCGAUCACCACGCAUGAACCGUUCUCUUCCAGCUGUCCCAAGCUGAUGAUAGAGUUUCUCGGCGUGGGGAUGUAGUACACUCCGGUGAGUAGCCUGUGCUCUCCAGACUCGACGGUGAAGAUGACGGAGCCGACGCCCUUGAUCUCUACGCCGGAGGCAUCCCCAAACUUGACGGUGCCUCAGACGCUAGAGUCAAGCUCGGUGAAGAACUCCCGCCGACCAGUCAUGUGCUGGGUAGCGCCGGUGUCGAGGCACCACCCCUCAGUCUUAUCGUUGCUGGAGCCAUCGCUGAGGAAGGCGUGUGCCCUCGGCUCGUCAAGGUGGAGGAGAACCGCUGCGGCCGAUGCCGCUGGAGUUAGCUCGAUGCUUGCAUGUGCCAGGAGCAGAGCCGGCUCCUCCUCCUCCGCUAGUGCGACGUGAGCCUGGCCGCGUCUUGGCUAUUGAUAGUCCUUGGCCUAAUGGCCAAGCUUGCCACAGUUGCGGCACGCGUCGUCUCGUGGCGGCGUGUGCUCGCCAGCGGCACCACCCGAGGCACCUCCUCGCACGCCGCCAGCACCACCCUAAGCGCGUCCUCGCGUGCCGCCCUCGGCGCCUCCUCGUGCCUUGGGCGCCUUGCGUGGCUUGCCGCGCCUGCAGCUGCCUGUCGAGAAAGAAGGCUCCCCCUUCGUCCUAUCACCUUGGCGGGCCUCCCACUGCUCUUGAGUGCAAUGGAGCUUCUCGCCAAUGAUGACAGGCCUUGAGGGAGGCUGUGACUCGUCGCUGUCGACGACCUUGAGGCGGCCUAUCGCCUCCUCAAUCGACAUCCUGGAGAGGUCUAGCAGAGACUCGAUCGAGCGAGCGAUCUGCUUGUACUUCUCAGGUACGCAGCGGAGGAGCUUCUUGACAGCUCUCUAUCCGUAGGUGUCGUCGCCGUACUGCACCAUCUUCUACAACAGAGUGUUGAGAUGAAGAGCAAAGCCAUCAACGUCCUCACCUGGCUUGAAGGCCAGGUUCUCCCAUUCCUUGCGAAGUGCCUGCAGUGUAGACUUGCGGGCGCGGUCGCUGCCGAUGCGUGCCGCAGUGAUAGCGUCCUAAGCCUCUUUGGCAGUCCGCUUCUGGGAAAGCAAGAACUGCAUCUCGAGCGAGACUGCAGCGAUGAGGGCAUCCAGCGCCCGUCGAUCCUCAUCGUAGUCGACGUCACCGUACCGGACUGCCUCCCACAUGUGCCGCACCUAUAGCCUCACUCUCAUCACCGCGACCCACUCGACGUAGUUGGUCUUGGUGAGGGUAGGCCACCCACCACGGGGCCGACUUCCCUGACAACAGCCUGGGCCCCGUGGCGACCAUGACGGCGGUCCGGGACGGGAGAGCUGCGCUCCCUGUAAGGGCCGCGCUCUCCGUCGACCCGGCCGCCGCGCCGCCGAUCGAACUCCAUCUCAGCCUCCAGCUGGGCAGCCCUCUCCCGCAAUCGCUGGGCCUCCAGUGCGAGAUCGAUGUGUGGGUCGCCCUGGGGGUCGCGGCCACCAUGUCCGCCAGGAACACGGUCGUCGCACGCGCCCCCGCCGGGAGCGCCGCCGGCGCGUGCACGCCCAUCUAGGCUGCCGCCGCCGCGCCCGCGUGGGUGCACGACUGCCCACUGCACCGCCCGUUCCUGCGUCGCCUCCCUUGCUAGCACGAGCUCUACGUCGGUAUCGCCAUCGGCAGAGGUAGCGCUGCUGAUGCUACCACCACGUAGAGUCUCGAGCUCCGCUGCCGCCGCACGUGCGACAUCUGCCGCCGCCGCCGCUUCCGCUUCCGCCCUCGCUGCAGCCAGCUCCGCUGCCACCAGCCUCGACGCCCUUGCCGCCACCACAGCGGUCUCUGCCGCCACUCGGGUACGCUCCUCUGCCGCAGCGAGCUCGGCCUCCUACCGACGCCGCGCGCUCGAGGCGACUGAGUGCUGAGACUGUCCUACGGACAUGGCACGCCACCGGGGGGCUACGUGGGGAAGAGGCUACUUCCGAAGGAGCUGCUGCUCGUCUGCGUAGGAGGAGAGGAGUGAACAGGGACAACCGGUGUUUCUGCUACCGGCUGGGGACGAAGGGUGGCUGGGGAGGGAUGUGAGCAGGAGAUGUUCAAGUUACAGGAUAGUACGGCUCUGAUACCAGUUGUUAGGAUCUGAACUGUAACUCUCAUCGAGAGGAUGGCACUAGGAAGAGUUGGGGCAAUUUUCUGAGUUUUCUUUCCACAAUACCAUGUCCAACCAAGUGUUGAGGAUACAUAUUUAUAGCUGGCCUAGCAGCCAACCAGCCAAGCAUCAAGGCAUAUACUAGUCUAAGAUGCCUUUGAUAUUGUACUUUGAUGCUGUCCUAUCUAGUCUAAGAUGUCUAGGACUGUCCUACCCUAAAAGUAGUCAACAAAGUGGUGCUGCAGCAAGCAUAUGCUGCAGCCCCAUUGUCCUCCAGUCAAAAACAGCUGCACUCCCACAAGGACCAGCAGCACAAGACCAAGUACAGCAGCUGAUCCUUGAAGACCAGCAGGACCAGUACAACAGCUGAUCCUUGAAGACCAGCAGCAAGACUUAUCCACCGCACUAAGCUGAUUGACAUUGGAGGUAACCAGAUCUGGCUUGUUCAGUUGACGGAGUAUCUCACUUAAGAGCUCCCCUGGAUCCCCAUGCGUCCCAUAAACCCAUGCCCUUUCCUCAAACUGCUUGCCAAUCUCGCUGUUGUACAACUCCCGGGCAAGGAUGGUCUUCCCCAAUCCAGAGAACCCAACUAUGGAGAUCACCCUCAGCUGCUUAGGUUGACCCUCCGCUUCCGCCAACUGCUCCAGAAGCUCCUCCAGGGGAGCAUCGAUGCCAACCAGAUCACCAGGAAGGACAUGCUGAUCCCAGGAUGAUUGUGCCAGCUGGAUGAGGAUGAAUGGGACACUGAAUACCUCUGCUGCCGCUGGAGUGCUUCCUCCAGUCUGUACCUAAGGUGCUGCAUCUCUUCGCCUAACUAGGAACGUGAUUUUCUCUUUCUCCCAGAUUUCAUAUAUUUAGAGUACCAUGGUUGCUGAUCCCAAGACGCAUCAUACAUGAUGUGGUCUAUACAAUCCUCCAUUUCAUGAGCUACAUGACGCAAUUCUUCAACCGAUAAACGCAGUAUGUGAUCAUCCUGCCCCAAGAGCUGCCCGUCAAUGGCACUAGUGAUCAUGGGAAGCUCUCUCAUCAGGAAAGUCACAUCUCCUUCAAAGCCCUUGUACAGCUUGUAUUUCUCCUCCACCAGCGAGAACAAUCUCGACACGAGGUUGUCUACAAAUGCACUCAACAGGCCAGGGUCCUCCAUCGAUCACAAUGGUUGUUAGCUAGGCACUGACGGUUCCUACUUCCUAGUGAGGAGAUAAAGUGCUCCCUGUCUUGCAAUGUAACAAUGGGGUGGAUAAAACAGACAUGGAGCACAUGGACCUUAAGGAGCAUCUUGUAGCAGGGGAGGAGACCACAUCUGGCUUUUCCUCUGACAGUAAAUUGCAGUUGUUAGCAGCACUUUUUACAUUAAAUAUAUCAUAAGUAUGAAGCCAUAUUAAAUUAGUAUUAAGUCCAGCACAGAAAUGCAAUGGUUAUAUGUAGUCAAUACUUCCAAUGAUUUUAUUACAGUGCCGAUGCUUAUGUAGAAACACUGAUAUUCACACUGUAACCCCUGAAAAUAAAAAUUGUACAGUGACAAGGAUGGAUCAUUGCAGAAAAGCUAUAGGGAUCAAAACUACUAUACUUUUCUAAAGAUGCAGUAGUAAGGUGGAAUAGUGCAGUGUGGAAGGGGGAGGAGAGCAGGAUUUGUGGAGCUUAGUUGCAACUGUAAACUCCUAACUGCGAUUCAGUGAUUGCUUCAAAGCAUGAUGUAAAUUUCUUCAAGCCAACGUCAAAUAUUGAAGAACUGGGGUUGUAUUACAAGAUAUUUAAAAUAAAUCUAUGGUGAACUAAUCAAGUGAAAAAAAUUUCUUCAAUUUCUUGUGGAAAAAAAUCAGCGCAUUAUUAUUUCCUCGGAAAGAUGCAAACCUACAGAAAAUGACAGAGAUUUCUUGGCAAAUAAAAACUCUGAUGACCAAAUAAUAAGCUUGAAGAUCUGGAUGUAGAUGAACAGCACCGGGCACACCGCACACAGGCAUAAGACUUUAGAAGAGAGUAGUACACCUUACUACCUCAGAGCUUUUCCAGAAUUAGACUGGGAGUGUUUGGAUCCAUGGACUAAUUUUUAGUUCAGGUCACAUCGGAUAUUUGGAUACCAAUUAAAAAGACUAAACGUGAUCUAAUUAUAAAACUAAUUGCAUAAGCCGUUGGUAAUUCGCGAGAUGUAUCUAUUAAGCCUAAUUAAUCCAUAAUUAGCACAUAUUUACUGUAACAUCGCAUGGUCAAAUCAUGAACUAAUUAAACUUAACAGAUUAAUCUUGCGAAUUAAUCUUCAUUUAUGCAAUUAGUUUUGUAAAUAAUCUAUAUUUAAUACUAAUUCUAAUUAGUAUCGUAUUCGACGUGAUACAGGGACUAAAGUAUUGUUCGAUGUGACACAGGGACUAAACAGUUUGUGCGGCCGGCUGCUGCUCGAGCUCGCUGGUGGGGGAAGACUUUGACCCGGACUUGGGAGAGAUGCACUCAUUUGUUUUCUUUUCUUAAUUUUUUAACGAAAGACAACAAUACCCCUGUCUUCUUUCUCUUUCCUAUUUGUAGUCUGAACACAAGAAAACAAAGCGAAGUGUUUGGCAUAAAUUUUGUACGCGCAUCAGACUUCAGCAAUACCUGUCAAAGCUCGCUGGCACCAACCGCCUCCCUCGCCUCUGUCGUCACAAUUUUUUGUCAAAGCUUGCUGGCACCAACGAGCCCCGGACCAGCGCUGGUGUCUGAUUGCCUCCAGGCAGUUAAAUACAUUCAGAGUCCAUUCCUGGAGGCUUCAUGGAAGCUUCGUCCUUGGAUUUCUCAAUGCCAGCAACACGGUCUUGAUGUGGAUUUGCAGGUUACAAAAAUUUCGAGGGUUCAAAACCAGGCAGCCCAUCUUCUUGCUGUCAAAAAGCUAGGACUUCAUCUUCUUAUACACAGCUCAAUCCUGUUUGUACAAAACCAAGACAUGAUCCUGCUUGUGCUGCUCUCUCAGCACUUCUUUCUGUACAAUUGGGUCACCUGACCCUCACCCAUGUACACUGCUUUUAGCUCUUGAAUGAAGUUCUUUUUCAAAAAAAAAAAAAAAAAAAACGAGCCCUCUUUACCAGCCACAACUCCUCUACGGGCUCCACUAUCUCCUCGGCCACCACCAGAUCCAUCAACAGCAUCUGACGGCCAUAGUGGCUCGAAUUUAUCAUGCCAAGCAUAACUCGCCCAAUUCAUGCCAAAGAGGCUGGCACACCAAGUGGAAACCUCAUUACUGGAAAAAAUAAAAGAAAUUGAGGUGUGACCGUGGGAGGGGUUUUCUGGUCUUUUAGCAAGCUAUCAUUUUCAUUAUCUCUUCUACAUUUAUUUUAAUUGGGCAACAUAAAACAAUGCCUCACGUCCAGGGGCGGAUCCAGGGCCCGGGCUGCCCGGGCUGCAGCCCGGGGCGAGACCAUGGAGUCCCUUUAACCUAUGUGUUGUUUAGCCUAACAAAAUGAGGUUUAGGAGACAAAAUUAGACUAUUUUAGGUGUGAUUCAACAGCUCAGCCCGGGGCGCAACCCCGUUCUGAAUCCGCCCCUGCUCACGUCGGUAGGGAAUGGCCAAGGUUUGAUUUCUUUCUUUUGUGGGUCUACCAGUCUCAGCCUUGCUUCUGUCUUUUUGUUACGUACAUAAUUAUAAUAUUUUGUUUGGUAGCCAUUAUUGGAGUUUGGCCUAGUCACGAGAUGGCAUAGUCCAAAUAAUCAGACAGAACUUUGUCAACCCCAGAACUCUAUAAGCAGAGCCACUUUUGUUUCUAAUUCCCUAGUUUUGCAUCUGUGGUGCCAAUCCAAGGCUACAUGAUACGGAACGAAGAAUAGAUUAAUAAUAAAAAACAAGGAAUGGAAUAAAGUGGCAAGGAGCAUCAAGGAACGGCUGGUUCACUGCAUUAUUGAGUUGCAUCUCACUGCAGCCCUCCUCACACUGGUACGGUGAGCUCCGGCUGCAGCUGCAAGACGACUAGCAGGUGCGUACUUGCUUCUCUGAAUUCCCGCUUAAUUGAAAGACAAGGCUGAACUCUGAAUUCCUUUCUCUGGGUAUACAUAUGAUCCUCCACAACUGCUUCAGUUUAUUUCUUUUUUGUGAACGUCCUGUGAGGCUGUGAGAUCUAUCAAAUCGGUUUGGCAACUUUCAUCGCAGAGAGAUCUGCUUCUACUGCCAUGGCAUCCCCAACAUCCAGUAUGGUUUCAUCACAAAACUCUACUACUUUUGCAUCUAUUGGUAAUUGGUUUCGUGUUUCUUUCUAAUUUCGUUCUUUCUUUUUUUUUCAAAAGAUUGAUUUGAUAGGAAGUGGUAGGAAACGAAUUGAAGAGAAGGUUUUCUUGGUAGUACCUGUACAAGGCUGCUAGUCUUGAUGUAGAAGAAUAACGCCAUGAAGGGUUGGACAGAUGACCAUCCAAGGAAGCUACAAUACUCACUAGUUAAAGAGAUUACAAAUAAUUUUGCAGAUGAACUUGGACGCGGUACAUUUGGACGUGUGUUUAAGGUACCCCUAUUAAAUUAAAAAUCUCCUUUGUAAUGUUCGUUGUAAAACAUACGAUGUUUUUAAAUUUAUUUACAUUCAUAAUCUCUGACCUCCUUCUAUCUCUUACAGUGAUUGUGGGUAAACCUUUAAACUAAAUAUCUCUUCUUGCCAAGCUAACAUUUGAACCAGGGUCAUGGUAUAAUUAAAAGUGUAGUUUAUAAUCCAAAGCUCUAUUUGUUGCAUAGGUGUCCUUUGAGCCAUGGGAAUGUCUCCAGAAAAACAUAUGUGGAAAAUAUAUCAAAGAUGGUUUCUGUUUCUAGACCUUAUCAUUAGCAGUUUUAAAUAAAAGAACAAUUUGCAAUGAGCUCAUAUCACAGAAAGUAUUACAAAAUAUAUCGCAAAUGGUUUUUAUGUCUAAACCUUGCCACAGAUACUUAGUUUUGAAAGCAAAACAGUCAUUGGUGGCCUUGAGACUAUCUGUAGUAGUGAAUGUUGGAUGAUAUUGUUGUUUAUUGUCUUAACAUCGGUUAUAUGAGGAUGUGUGCAAAAGGAACCGAGCUAAUCGUAUUCAUUUUCAUUUAUAAUUCUCUGUUACUAUAUAUCAGCAUAGAAAAAACAAAAUUAUUAUGUGUAAUUAAAGAAGGUGUUUAAUAGGGGCUGCUUGAUGAUGGAGAAGAGGUUGCUGUGAAGCUGCUUCGUUAUUUCACGCCUGAGAUCAGUGACCAGCAGUUCCAAAAUGAAUUUGGAAACCUUAAGAAGCUCAAGCAUCCUAAUAUUGUACAAUUGUUGGGGUUCUGCGAUGAACCUGAGGAAGAAAUUAUUGAGCACAAAGGAAAAUUAAUACUUUGCUAUAGGAUACGCAGGGCACUAUGUCUUGAGUAUGUGCCCAAUGGAAGCCUUCGCAAGUUUCUU
rnacentral:lncRNA from 1 species